rnacentral:rRNA from 1 species
GAUGAACGCUAGCUACAGGCUUAACACAUGCAAGUCGAGGGGCAGCAUGAACUUAGCUUGCUAAGUUUGAUGGCGACCGGCGCACGGGUGAGUAACACGUAUCCAACCUUCCGUUUACUCAGGGAUAGCCUUUCGAAAGAAAGAUUAAUACCUGAUAGUAUGGUGAGAUUGCAUGAUAGCACCAUUAAAGAUUUAUUGGUAAACGAUGGGGAUGCGUUCCAUUAGGUAGUAGGCGGGGUAACGGCCCACCUAGCCGACGAUGGAUAGGGGUUCUGAGAGGAAGGUCCCCCACAUUGGAACUGAGACACGGUCCAAAACUCCUACGGGAGGCAGCAGUGAGGAAUAUUGGUCAAUGGGCAGAGCCUGAACUAGCCAAGUAGCGUGAAGGAUGAAGGUCCUACGGAUUGUAAACUUCUUUUAUACGGGAAUAAAGUAUCCUACGUGUAGGAUUUUGUAUGUACCGUAUGAAUAAGCAUCGGCUAACUCCGUGCCAGCAGCCGCGGU